CUACCCUUCGAAUGUCGCUGCUCAUUCAGCGAUCGGGCCUGGAAACCCGGUAA
rnacentral:ncRNA from 1 species